CGGACGGGUGAGUAACGCGUGGGUAACCUGCCUCAUACAGGGGGAUAACAGUUAGAAAUGACUGCUAAUACCGCAUAAGCGCACAGUACCACAUGGUACGGUGUGAAAAACUCCGGUGGUAUGAGAUGGACCCGCGUCUGAUUAGCUGGUUGGUGAGGUAACGGCCCACCAAGGCGACGAUCAGUAGCCGACCUGAGAGGGUGACCGGCCACAUUGGGACUGAGACACGGCCCAG
rnacentral:rRNA from 1 species